UACGUAGGUGGCGAGCGUUGUCCGGAUUUACUGGGCGUAAAGGGAGCGUAGGCGGACUUUUAAGUGAGAUGUGAAAUACCCGGGCUCAACUUGGGUGCUGCAUUUCAAACUGGAAGUCUAGAGUGCAGGAGAGGAGAAUGGAAUUCCUAGUGUAGCGGUGAAAUGCGUAGAGAUUAGGAAGAACACCAGUGGCGAAGGCGGCUUCCUGGUCUGUAACUGACACUGAGGCGCGAAAGCGUGGGGAGCAAACAGGAUUAGAUACCCUGGUA
rnacentral:rRNA from 1 species